GAGUUUGAUCAUGGCUCAGAACAAACGCUGGCGGCGUGCCUAACACAUGCAAGUCGUGCGGCCAAGUCUCCAUGACUUUGCUUCGGCAGAGGAUUGGAGGCAUCUGGUAGCGGCGAACGGGUGAGUAAUGCAUAGGUAAUCUGCCCCGAGGGGCGGGAUAACUUGUGGAAACACGGGCUAAUACCGCAUAAUUUUGGUUAGGGCAUCCUGAUCAAAAAAAGGAGUAAUCCGCUUCGGGAUGAGCCUCUGUCUUAUUAGCUAGUUGGUGGGGUAAUGGCUCACCAAGGCUAUGAUGGGUAGCUGGCCUGAGAGGGUGGUCAGCCACACUGGGACUGAGACACGGCCCAGACUCCUACGGGAGGCAGCAGUGAGGAAUAUUCCGCAAUGGGCGAAAGCCUGACGGAGCAACGCCGCGUGGAGGAUGAAUGCCUCCGGGUUGUAAACUCCUUUCGGCAGAGACGAAGUCCCCGAUUUAUCGGGGGUGACGGUAUCUGCAAAAGAAGCCCCGGCCAACUACGUGCCAGCAGCCGCGGUAAUACGUAGGGGGCAAGCGUUGUUCGGAAUUACUGGGCGUAAAGAGCACGUAGGCGGUAAGUCAAGUCGAGUGUGAAAGCCUUGGGCUCAACCCAAGGAUUGCAUUCGAAACUAACUUACUAGAGUAUAGUAGAGGGAAGUGGAAUUCCCGGUGUAGCGGUGAAAUGCGCAGAUAUUGGGAAGAACACCAGUGGCGAAGGCGGCUUCCUGGACUACGACUGACGCUGAGGUGCGAAAGCUAGGGGAGCGAACAGGAUUAGAUACCCUGGUAGUCCUAGCCGUAAACGAUGGGCACUAGGUGUAGGGAGUUAUUGACGCUCUCUGUGCCGCAGCUAACGCAUUAAGUGCCCCGCCUGGGGAGUACGGCCGCAAGGCUAAAACUCAAAGGAAUUGACGGGGGCCCGCACAAGCGGUGGAGCAUGUGGCUCAUUCGACGCACGCGAAGAAUCCUUACCAGGGCUUGACAUGCAAGGGAAAGCCUUUGGAAACAAAGUCCCUCCUUCGGACUCUUGCACAGGUGGUGCCAUGCUGUCGUCAGCUCGUGCGUGAGGUGAUAGGUUAGUCCCGCACGAGGGCAAUCCUUUCUGGGUUGCAACAUUAGUGCACUCCAGGGGUCCUGCGGGUUCAGCUAGGAAGGAAGGUUGA
rnacentral:rRNA from 1 species